AGAGAGAGACAUGCGCGCAUAUCAAUAAGCGGAGGAAAAGAAACUAACAAGGAUUCCCCUAGUAACGGCGAGUGAAGCGGGAAGAGCUCAAAUUUGAAAUCUUAAAGGGUUUCCCUUUACGAAUUGUAGUUUAAAGAAGUGUUUUCUGUUGAGGUUUUGGUAAAAGUCCUUUGGAAUAGGACAUCAUAGAGGGUGAGAAUCCCGUAUUUGACCGUUACUUUCAGCUGUGUGAUACACUUUCAAAGAGUCGGAUUGUUUGGGAAUGCAGUCCAAAAUGGGUGGUAAAUUUCAUCUAAAGCUAAAUAUUGGCGAGAGACCGAUAGCGAACAAGUACCGUGAGGGAAAGAUGAAAAGAACUUUGAAAAGAGAGUUAAACAGUACGUGAAAUUGUCAAAAGGGAAGCGUUUGACACCAGUGUUGUUUUUCUGAAAAUCAAUUAAAGAACUGUUUAUGCUAAGUUGUUUAGACUUUAUCAGCUAACUGUUUAGUUUUGAGCUUUUCUUUAAUGCACUUUUCAGUUAACAAGUCAACAUCAAUUUCUUUUGCUGUAAAAAAGCUUGAGGAAGGUGGCUUGAGAUUCGUCUUAAGUGUUUAUAGCCUCUUGCCUAUGCAGUCGGAGAGAUUGAGGUCUGCAGCGUAGAUCCUUCGGGGCUAAAUGCAUUUGUGCUAAGUUAUAGCAUUUUAUAGACAACUUGUUGACUAUGAUUUGUCUUGUAGCUUACUCGCUUAUGUUAUUUUACCUACGCUUAGGAUGUUGAGCGCAUGUCUCUCUCU
rnacentral:rRNA from 1 species